rnacentral:rRNA from 1 species
AUUGAACGCUGGCGGCAUGCUUUACACAUGCAAGUCGAACGGUAACAGGGUGCUUGCACCGCUGACGAGUGGCGAACGGGUGAGUAAUGCGUCGGAACGUGCCGAGUAGUGGGGGAUAACGCAGCGAAAGUUGUGCUAAUACCGCAUACGUACUGAGGUAGAAAGUGGGGGACCUUCGGGCCUCACGCUAUUCGAGCGGCCGACGUCUGAUUAGCUAGUAGGUGAGGUAAAGGCUCACCUAGGCGACGAUCAGUAGCGGGUCUGAGAGGAUGAUCCGCCACACUGGGACUGAGACACGGCCCAGACUCCUACGGGAGGAAGCAGUGGGGAAUUUUGGACAAUGGGCGAAAGCCUGAUCCAGCCAUGCCGCGUGUCUGAAGAAGGCCUUCGGGUUGUAAAGGACUUUUGUCAGGGAGGAAAUCCCUAGUGCUAAUAACACUGGGGGAUGACAGUACUUGAGGAAUAAGCACCGGCUAACUACGUGCCAGCAGCCGCCGCGG